rnacentral:rRNA from 1 species
UAAUCCUACGGGACGCAGCAGUGGGGGAUAUUGGACAAUGGGGGAAACCCUGAUCCAGCGAUGCCGCGUGAGGGAAGAAGGUUUUCGGAUUGUAAACCUCUGUGGAGGGGGACGAUAAUGACGGUACCCCUUUAGGAAGCCACGGCUAACUACGUGCCAGCAGCCGCGGUAAUACGUAGGGGGCAAGCGUUAUCCGGAUUUACUGGGUGUAAAGGGAGCGUAGACGGCUGUGCAAGUCUGAAGUGAAAGCCCGUGGCUCAACCGCGGAACUGCUUUGGAAACUGUAUAGCUUGAGUACUGGAGAG